rnacentral:rRNA from 1 species
CCUACGGGAGACAGCAGUGAGGAAUAUUGGUCAAUGGGCGUAAGCCUGAACCAGCCAAGUCGCGUGAGGGAUGAAGGUUCUAUGGAUCGUAAACCUCUUUUAUAAGGGAAUAAAGUGCGGGACGUGUCCCGUUUUGUAUGUACCUUAUGAAUAAGGAUCGGCUAACUCCGUGCCAGCAGCCGCGGUAAUACGGAGGAUCCGAGCGUUAUCCGGAUUUAUUGGGUUUAAAGGGAGCGUAGGCGGGUUGUUAAGUCAGUUGUGAAAGUUUGCGGCUCAACCGUAAAAUUGCAGUUGAUACUGGCAUCCUUGAGUACAGUAGAGGUAGGCGGAAUUCGUGGUGUAGCGGUGAAAUGCUUAGAUAUCACGAAGAACUCCGAUUGCGAAGGCAGCCUGCUGGACUGUAACUGACGCUGAUGCUCGAAAGUGUGGGUAUCAAACAGGAUUAGAUACCCUAGUAGUC